GUGGAUUAGAUACCCGGGUAGUCCACGCUGUAAACGAUGUCGAUUUGGAGGUUGUGCCCUUGAGGCGUGGCUUCCGGAGCUAACGCGUUAAAUCGACCGCCUGGGGAGUACGGCCGCAAGGUUAAAACUCAAAUGAAUUGACGGGGGCCCGCACAAGCGGUGGAGCAUGUGGUUUAAUUCGAUGCAACGCGAAGAACCUUACCUGGCCUUGACAUGUCUGGAACCUUGUAGAGAUACGAGGGUGCCUUCGGGAAUCAGAACACAGGUGCUGCACGGUCGUCGACAACU
rnacentral:rRNA from 1 species